CCUUCAGUAUGGCUACUCUGGCCUUUAAAUUCACCUUAAAUUUCUGACAAUUCUCACUUUAGUACAUACGCCCAAAAGGGUUAUUGGUCUUAUAGCAAAGAUGACAAUGUGGAGACUGGUUAUGGAGUGAUCAUAUAGGUAGGAAGUCCAUCCUUUCAAGAAAGAAUCUUCCAUGUGUCCUGUCUCCACUGCAAGGAAAAUUUAUUUAUAGGCACUCAUUUACAUAUUCAG